rnacentral:rRNA from 1 species
CCUACGGGAGGCAGCAGUGGGGAAUAUUGCACAAUGGGGGAAACCCUGAUGCAGCGACGCCGCGUGAGUGAAGAAGUAUUUCGGUAUGUAAAGCUCUAUCAGCAGGGAAGAAAAUGACGGUAUCUGCUUAAGAAGACCCGGCUCACUACGCGCCCCCAGCCGCGGUAAUACGUAGGGGUCACGCGUUAUCUGGAUUUACUGGGUGUAAAGGGGGCGUAGACGGCAGCACAAGUCUGGAGUGAAAUGCCGGGGCUUAACCCCGGAACUGCUUUGGAAACUGUGCAGUUAGAGUGCAGGAGAGGUAAGUGGAAUUCCGAGUGUAGCGGUGAAAUGCGUAGAUAUUAGGAGGAACACCAGUGGCGAAGGCGGCUUACUGGACUGUAACUGACGUUGAGGCUCGAAAGCGUGGGGAGCAAACAGGAUUAGAUACCCGAGUAGUC